UAGAUUAUCAUGCAAACACAAGAAAACAAUUAAAAAGGUUAAAAUUUAAAUUAAAAGAAAACCGGAAACCAAGACAAUUAAUAAACUCGCAAGUGUAACAAUUAGUCACAAAUGAUUAACAACCAACGGAAAAUAAUAACCGGCGACUGAUCAUGUGACCGAUUGAGCGGGUUAAUUUUCUGGUUCCAUUUUCGGUUUAAUUGUUUACUUUAAUUACGUUUUUAAUUGUUUGUUGUUUCAUCGUUUAUUCAAUUGAUUUAGUUAAUUUUUUCUUCUCAAUUUCGCACAAUUCAAUGGUUUCACUGGUUGUCAAUUGGUACACUGAUCAAGUAAAUAACAUGUUACAUUUAACCUCCUGGUUAACUUUUGGAUUAGAAAAUGAUAAGUAGCCAUUUUUUUUUAUUCUCAAUCUUUUGGAUUACCUUUAUUAUUUUAAACGAUUGAUUUUCAUGUUCAGUUAACUAAAUUGAUUAACUGUAUUUUUCUGUGAACAUUGAUGGCUGUGUAAAUAAUUAAGUUAUUUACAAUUCUACCAUCAUGUAGCCUUUGUUACAAUUUGUUCUCUUUCAAAAAAAGGAUUCUUAAUAAAUGACGUGUAGUCCUGGUUUAGUUUUAGCAGAAAUUCUGUUGAUUCUCUUUGCAGUAACGAUCAAAGUUCAGACUCUUGUUCAACUAACAAGACUUAACAAUUCAAUCAAUUCAAUUCAAUGUUUACAUGGAAGAAACAAAAAAAACAGAAAGAAAGUCUUGAAUCUCUCAUCUUUUCUCAUUGGCAUAAAUUUUUACCAUUGGAAAAGCAUAAAUUACAAUUGAAUGGAUUCCUUAGUAAUCAAAAUUGGCAAUGAUGAUGAAGGAUAUUUACUAUCAUAAUGAUUAACAACAAUAAUAAUAACAAUAGUGGACAUAAUUGCAAAGACAUAAUCUGAUGAUUAUUUUUACGAUUAAUUAAUGAUUAAGAAGCGACAAAAAUUACGAUGACACAAGAGCCCUGAUUUCCUGAUAUCAGAAUGAAUUCAAAUUAUGUGUAUUAACGUGAUUUUUUAUCUCAUUUAAAAUCAUUUGGAAUAAUAAACAACACUAACAAUGGAAAGCAAAUAAAAUUGUUUCCUCAUAUAUGCCCAAUAGGAGAAGGAAAAUAUAUAAAGAAACUCAUGGAAAUUGGUGAGAUGAAAAAGAAGAAAAGAAAAUUUAUUGAAUGAGAAUUGAUGAUGAGAAAGUAAACCGGAAAGAAUUAAAUAUCAGAAUGAUGAUAAUGUGAAGUUUGUUCAGUGGUCAGUGUAAAGAAAAUGAAGAGAUGACAGAAGAUUAAGAGAUGAUAGAAAAAGAUUGAAUCUCUUUUUUCUUCUUCUUCUCUAUUCUCUCAAUAAAAGUUUUCUCUUAACAUGAUAAGCUUUGCAACGGAUCGGCGAUAGUGGCCUCUAAAUUUAUGGGAAUCAGGAAGAAUUGUCUGAGCUUAUCUUCAUCAUCUUCAUUUCUCAUCUAUGUACUUGUGAUUAUAUUAAUGAUUAACUAAAAAGCUCAUAAACAAGAUGAUGCUAAUAUAAAGUUCAUUACAUUGAACAUUCUUGGCUCAUCAAUUGAUCAAUAUCUUCACACUUGAACACAAUUCAUGCUGAUAAUUCAAAUUCUGAUCCAAUUUGAUCAUCACCCUAAUACUAAUAAUCGUUUAUUAGAAUCUCUCUCUCUCUCUCUCUCUCUCUCUCUCUCUCUCUCUCUCUCUCUCUGACCUCAGUUAAUUGUUAUUAUCACCUGAGAGACUAAUUGCCUAACCAAUUACCAUUAAUUACUUUGAUUUAUACUAAUAUUGUAGCAAAAAGUUUUACUUUCCCAAAAAUGAGACAAAACCAUGACAAAAAUCAUGAUAAUCAUAUUAAUCCCUUUUAAUUUGAUUCAAUUUGAUUAAUUAUUCACAGGUAACAUUGAUUUAUCUCGUUAAUUGUUAUUGAAUCUCAUUUUCUAUCAACUGCAAAUGUAUUUAUAUAUCAAUAUAAUAAUUUAUUCAACCUCUCAAUGAAUUGAUUGUUGUUGAUCAUUGAUUCACUUCAUUGAUUGUUGUGGUAACAAUCAAAUCAAUCAUUGAGAAUAAGAGAGAGAGAGAGAAAAAAAUUAAAAGCUAAUUAACACCAACCCACACACACACUCACUCACAAAACUAACAAUUACUAGAUAUUUGCUUUCCUAAUUUACUUAAUUACAUCAAUCAACGACGAUGAAGAAAAAAAAAAUUAAAUUUCAAUUGUGAUUAACUUGAUUGUUGUAUUACUGUUAUUGUACUUGAAUGGCAAUAGCUUCCAGUUAAUUGUUGACCUAAAAAAUUAAUGUUGAUCAGUGAUAAUCAUAUAUCCCUAGUAAAAAGCUAACAAUUAUCGAUGACGAUCAGACAAUUAACUGACAGCUAUUAAAUAUAUUUUGUUAAUUUAAUUUUUUUCUUCACCAAACUGAAAACACUAUUAACCUGAUAACCUGAUGAUCAGUAAAUUGUGUAAUUGAUGAUAAUGAUAACCUUUUAACAAUCAAGACUUUGAAUAUCAAAUUCAUUGAUAAUCAAAGUUUUUUUUUUCUUCUCAUUUUCAUUAUCCUUAACAAUCAAUUUGUAAGUCCACAACAAUUAAGAAUCAAAGUAAAUCAAGUUUUCUGCUUGAUUAGUGAGCAGUGAUGAUGAUGAUAAUCAAUACUUUUCAUUUUCAUCCCUAAUCACAAUUAUCAUCAAUCAAUUGAUUUUUUUCCCUCUCUCAAGUAUAUUGAUUAUUUGAAAGUGUGCUAACUAAUUGAUUUGAUGUUUAACUAAUACAACCAAUCAAUUGUUAUAUAUAAACAAUCAAUUUUAAUCAAUCAAAAUCAACUUUAUCUCAAUAUCAUAAUCAACAAAAUAUAAUAAGUUAUUAAAAUAUUAACAAUAAUACAAUUAAACUUAAAUGAUUAACUGGAAAAACUGAACCAAAUCAACUGAAGAUUAUGAUAGAUUAGCAAAUGAUGAAGAUUAUCAAGUUAAUCUGAUUAAACGUUAAAUUAUCUUGGGCAUUUUAAUAGUGAUUUAGGAAUGGAAAAUAUUGUUUCACAAUUAACUGUAAAUGAUUAACUUUUUUUUUAUUAUCUCUCUGCAAGUUACCAGUUUCUGGUUUCUUGAAAUUCUCAACCAUUAAUGAUUAUGAUUAUUGUUAUUAUUUUCGUACCCAAACUGAAUCAAUCAAUGAAUUUAGGUUACCUGGUGCUGGUGUUGUCUUUAUAUUAAUAUCAUCACCCACCCCGGAAGGUAGUCGGCCUGGUUACCCUUUCUCACUUUAAUCAUAAAUAAUCAAAAAUAAUUCAGUUUCACACCAACUCAAUAUUCACAGGUAACAUGAUAACAAUAAUACCAACUAAUAAUAAGUAAUAACUUUAUUUUCCUGAUCAAGAGUUAAUCAUAAUCAUAAUUAUCUUCAUCAUCAUCAUCUUCGUCCUCUGUCAUUAAAACAACAACGACACUACGAUUAAUUGAUUGUUGUCAACGAAAGUUUUUUUUCACGAUUUAACUGUUAAUUAUUAAUUGGAUUUUACAAUCAAUAGUUAAUCAAGGUGAUUAUACUGGUUAUAUGGAUUAAAAGCUUUUAAUUAUUAAUCAACUUUUGUCUAUCUGUCCAAUGGUUUGAAAAUUUGUUUAUUUCCAAUUGAAGUAACUUUUGAUUCUUGAUUAUUAUUAUCAUUAUCAUGGUGAUUAUGAUGAGGAUAAUAUUAACUAAUGUAUACGGUUCAUGGAGUCCAUUAAAGUCACGGUGGGAUAAUUUUGAGAAGAGACAGAGGAGAGAGAGAGAGAGAGAGAGAGAGAGGGGGGUGAGGUGGGCAUGAUGAUGAUGAUGAACAUUAAUAUAAUAAUUGACAAAUUGUUACUAUGACUUUGAUCAUCAUCUUCAUCUGAACCGGAAUUGAUUGUGAACAAGAAAACUUAUUACUCUUCAUUCAGAUUCUCAUAACUUUCCCUGAACUUUUUUCAUUCAUUUAUUAGGUAAAAAUUAUCAUCAUCAUGUGUUACCUGUAUUUCUGGGGGACUUUACUUUCACAGGUAAAUUAACUUCCUGAAUUUUUGGUAACAUGAUUAAGAUUAUGAUUUAGAUUAUGAUAUAAUUGUAUUGCAACUUAUAAUCUAACCCAAAGGCUCAACAAGUGAAAUGAUUAAGUUUUAUCAAUUGAUUUGAUUUUCUUAAUUGUCUUGGAUUAAUUUGACAAUUUAAUCUGUCCUUUAAUCAUGAUUAAUAAUAUUUAUCUAUGUGAUUUUUGUUAGUUAAUCAUUAACAAUUUAUUUUCCUCGCCAUUAAUCAUUUGGUUUAAUCACGAAUUUAAACUUUAUGUUUUAAUUGUUUCUAAUAUUUAAUUUUGAUUGUAACUAUAAUUAUAAUCAUGGUUAAGGAAUUUAAAUUGUAC